rnacentral:tRNA from 1 species
GAUAAUUUAGUUUAUAUAAAACAAAUGUUUUGAAAACAUUAAUAAGAGUACAAAAUUUCUAAUUAUUA